GAUGAACGCUGGCGGCGUGCCUAAUACAUGCAAGUCGAGCGAACAGACGAGGAGCUUGCUCCUCUGACGUUAGCGGCGGACGGGUGAGUAACACGUGGAUAACCUACCUAUAAGACUGGGAUAACUUCGGGAAACCGGAGCUAAUACCGGAUAAUAUAUUGAACCGCAUGGUUCAAUAGUGAAAGACGGUUUUGCUGUCACUUAUAGAUGGAUCCGCGCCGCAUUAGCUAGUUGGUAAGGUAACGGCUUACCAAGGCGACGAUGCGUAGCCGACCUGAGAGGGUGAUCGGCCACACUGGAACUGAGACACGGUCCAGACUCCUACGGGAGGCAGCAGUAGGGAAUCUUCCGCAAUGGGCGAAAGCCUGACGGAGCAACGCCGCGUGAGUGAUGAAGGUCUUCGGAUCGUAAAACUCUGUUAUUAGGGAAGAACAAAUGUGUAAGUAACUAUGCACGUCUUGACGGUACCUAAUCAGAAAGCCACGGCUAACUAC
rnacentral:rRNA from 1 species